rnacentral:rRNA from 1 species
AAUAUUGGACAAUGGGCGAAAGCCUGAUCCAGCAAUGCCGCGUGAGUGAUGAAGGCCUUAGGGUUGUAAAGCUCUUUUACCAGGGAUGAUAAUGACAGUACCUGGAGAAUAAGCUCCGGCUAACUCCGUGCCAGCAGCCGCGGUAAUACGGAGGGAGCUAGCGUUGUUCGGAAUUACUGGGCGUAAAGCGCGCGUAGGCGGUUACUCAAGUCAGAGGUGAAAGCCCGGGGCUCAACCCCGGAACUGCCUUUGAAACUAGGUGACUANAAUCUUGGAGAGGUCAGUGGAAUUCCCAGUGUAU